rnacentral:misc_RNA from 1 species
AAGUCGUAACAAGGUUUCCGUAGGUGAACCUGCGGAAGGAUCAUUAACACGUCUUUAUAUCCAAUAUAUAAACUAAACGCGAACUAAAACCCCCGACCUAUCAUAUAUACACGGUCAAGGUUAAUUGGGAUUGUACGUAUAUAUACGUAUGAUCCUUUUAAUUAACUCUUGACUGAUGGUAGGCAAUUUUAUCAACAAUCAUUUUAAACUCUUAUAACCUAGUUGAUCUAACUACUAAGACAUUCUAGUAUUCAUUCUAUGAAUACUGCUUGUUGUUAUAUUACGAAAUGUAAGAACAACUCUUAGCAAUGGAUAUCUUGGUUCUC